UACGUAGGGUGCAAGCGUUAAUCGGAAUUACUGGGCGUAAAGCGUGCGCAGGCGGUCCGCUAAGACCGAUGUGAAAUCCCCGGGCUUAACCUGGGAACUGCAUUGGUGACUGGCGGGCUAGAGUAUGGCAGAGGGGGGUAGAAUUCCACGUGUAGCAGUGAAAUGCGUAGAGAUGUGGAGGAAUACCGAUGGCGAAGGCAGCCCCCUGGGCCAAUACUGACGCUCAUGCACGAAAGCGUGGGGAGCAAACAGG
rnacentral:rRNA from 1 species